CUUUCUGUUCUCUUCAUGUCGCGUAAAUCUUUCGCCUUUUACUAAUGUGUUCCGUGGAGAGGAACAAUACAAGUAUCAAUAACUUUUUUUGACACCUUGCUUUACUACGGG